CGGGUCCUUCGGGACUAGUGGCGGACGGGUGAGUAACGCGUGGGAACGUGCCCCUUGGUACGGAAUAGCCCCGGGAAACUGGGAGUAAUACCGUAUGUGGUCGAGAGACGAAAGAUUUAUCGCCAAGGGAUCGGCCCGCGUUGGAUUAGGUAGUUGGUGGGGUAAUGGCCUACCAAGCCGACGAUCCAUAGCUGGUUUGAGAGGAUGAUCAGCCACACUGGGACUGAGACACGGCCCAGACUCCUACGGGAGGCAGCAGUGGGGAAUCUUAGACAAUGGGGGAAACCCUGAUCUAGCCAUGCCGCGUGAUCGAUGAAGGCCUUAGGGUUGUAGAGAUCUUUCAGGUGGGAAGAUAAUGACUGUACCACCAGAAGAAGCCCCGGCUAACUCCGUGCCAGCAGCCGCGGUAAUACGGAGGGGGCUAGCGUUAUUCGGAAUUACUGGGCGUAAAGCGCACGU
rnacentral:rRNA from 1 species